rnacentral:rRNA from 1 species
UACGUAGGGUGCGAGCGUUGUCCGGAAUUAUUGGGCGUAAAGGGCUCGUAGGCGGUCUGUUGCGUCAGGAGUGAAAACUCGGGGCUUAACUCCGAGCCUGCUUCUGAUACGGGCAGACUAGAGGUAUGCAGGGGAGAACGGAAUUCCUGGUGUAGCGGUGAAAUGCGCAGAUAUCAGGAGGAACGCCGGUGGCGAAGGCGGAUCUCUGGGCCUUACCUGACGCUGAGGCGCGAAAGCUAGGGGAGCGAACAGG